GACGAACGCUGGCGGCGUGCCUAAUACAUGCAAGUAGAACGCAGUUGCGAACGGGUGAGUAACGCGUAGGUAACUGCCUCAUAGCGGGGGAUAACUAUUGGAAACGCUAGCUAAUACCGCAUACUUUGAGAUGGACCUGCGUUGUAUUAGCUAGUUGGUGAGGUAAAGGCUCAACAAGGCGACGAUACAUAGCCGACCUGAGAGGGUGAUCGGCGACACAGGAACUGAGACAAGACACAGACUCCUACGGGAGGAAGCAUGAGGGAAUCUUCGGAAAUGGACGGAAGUCUGACGGAGCAACGCCGCGUGAGUGAACAAGGUUUUCAGAUCGUAAAUCGCUGUUGUAAGAAAAGCGGUAACUAACCAGACAGAGACGGCUAAAUACGUGCCAGCAGCCGAAGUAAUUC
rnacentral:rRNA from 1 species